GACGAACGCUGGCGGCGUGCUUAACACAUGCAAGUCGAACGGAAAGGCCCUGCUUUUGUGGGGUGCUCGAGUGGCGAACGGGUGAGUAACACGUGAGUAACCUGCCCUUGACUUUGGGAUAACUUCAGGAAACUGGGGCUAAUACCGGAUAGGAGCUCCUGCUGCAUGGUGGGGGUUGGAAAGUUUCGGCGGUUGGGGAUGGACUCGCGGCUUAUCAGCUUGUUGGUGGGGUAGUGGCUUACCAAGGCUUUGACGGGUAGCCGGCCUGAGAGGGUGACCGGCCACAAUGGGACUGAGAGACGGCCCAGACUCCUACGGGAGGCAGCAGUGGAGAAUAUUGCGCAGUGGGCGGAAGCCUGAUGCAGCAACGCCGCGUGCGGGAUGACGGCCUUCGGGUUGUAAACCGCUUUCGCCUGUGACGAGGCGUGAGUGACGGUAAUGGGUAAAGAAGCACCGGCUAACUACGUG
rnacentral:rRNA from 1 species